GUUUGACCUCAAAUCAGGAGGAGUACCCGCUGAACUUAAGCAUAUCAUAGCGGAGGAAA
rnacentral:rRNA from 1 species